rnacentral:tRNA from 1 species
GCUCCCGUAGCUCAAUGGAUAGAGUAGAAGUUUCCUAAACUUUUGGUUGGACGUUCGAUUCGUCUCGGGAGCGCCA